rnacentral:lncRNA from 1 species
CAACAAUCACUUUCAAGAUCAACGGCAUAUCAUAAAAUGGGGGAUUAUUUCAGAGAAGGUUUUAAUACAUCAAAAUUACGAGUGGAUGGUGGCAUUAGAAAUGAGUAAAAAGUUUCAACAAUCACCGAACUUCCGUUUGCUGCUCAACGGUCACUGAACUUAAAAACACACCACUCCAUCCAUCACUCACCACAAAGCCGUCUGAAAUUGUCUGAUCUGGCCUUGACGGAAUUCCAUGUGGCAUUCAACGGCAUCAAAAGUGAGACACGAUGGACAUGUUUAAGAUUACACGACUCUAACCCAUUCAAAAUUGAAAACCAAUUUCCCUAAUUCACUCUCCCAUGAACCCUAAUUCAAUCUCCCCCAAUUCAAAAUCCUGGAUCAAACAUAGAGUCACUUACCAGAAGUUCUUCGUCUUCCAAUGUACACCAUCCCCAGCUGCAGAUGAUUAUCAACCGAUAAAAUCUGAACCCACGCCCCGUUACCUAAACGUUGAAAACUCGAAGAAGGAAACUAGAGGAGCCCAACCAACUGCGAACGGUGAAGGUAAUCUCCUAAAUUCUCAUUUACUUAUUUGAAGAAUAUGUAAUUGACACUGUUGA